rnacentral:rRNA from 1 species
UACAGGGGGUGCAAACGUUGCUCGGAAUUAUUGGGCGUAAAGAGCGUGUAGGCGGCUUCACAGGUCUGCUGUGAAAACUCGAGGCUCAACCUCGAGACGUCGGUUGAAACCAUCUGGCUAGAGUCCGGAAGAGGAGAGUGGAAUUCCCGGUGUAGCGGUGAAAUGCGCAGAUAUCGGGAAGAACACCCGUGGCGAAGGCGGCUCUCUGGGACGGUACUGACGCUGAGACGCGAAAGCGUGGGGAGCGAACAGG